rnacentral:lncRNA from 1 species
UUUUUAGGGCCGCUCCUGAGGCAUAUGGAGGUUCCCAGGCUAGGGGUCUAAUCGGAGCUGUAGCUGCUGGCCUACGCCAGAGCCACAGCAACAUAGGAUCCGAGCCACAUUUGCGACCUACACCACAGCUCACAGCAACACCGGAUCUUUAACCCAUUGAGCAAGGCCAGGGAUCGAUCCUGCAACCUCAUGGUUCCUAGUCAGAUUCGUUAAACCACUGCGCCACGACGGGAACUCCAUCCAUAAAGUAUUCUUAUUUAAUAAAAGAGAAUUACUGCAUAAAUUUGACAAGUCUAACUUACACAGAAUUAAGUGAAUUUAUCAUUUUAAAAUCUAAUAUUUAUUAAAAUUUUAUAUUUUUAAACAUUAACUUCAGAUAUAAUGAACUAUCAGCUGUAUAGUAAACUGUUCCUUUGCCUGAAGUUAUUGCCUAAUUAAAACAACCAGAAGCACUGUAAUGUUGGAUGCCAACAGUGAACCUGGAAUGCAUAUAUUUCACAUAGUUUAACAACCGAACACCUAAAUAUGGUGCCAUUGAAAGCAUUCGGUGCAUCAACACGGUAAUUUUAAAUUGUCUCUUAGAAUCUAGGGAUGGAAGUAAACAAGUAGCACAUCACAUCCCUUCUUUGCUAGUGAAUGUGUAUUUUUAAACAAAUGAAAUGAAAAAAUAUCAAAUCAAACCAAAUCUCCGUAUGUUCUUAUGAAGGUUUUGUUUUGUUUGUUUUGUUUAAUUUACAUGUUAACUUUAGAAAGUGAUGAACUAGUAAGGAAGGCAAGACAUGACUGUUGUAUUAAAAAUGUUUUAUAUGGUUUUCUGUUUCUAAACGUAAACUGAUUUUAUGAGGUCGUCUAGGUUUCUGAUCUUUUCCCAAGGCUGUGUAACUCUUUCACCCUCUCUCAACAUUGUCAAAAGGAACUGGAUCCUCUGGACAUUCCGCCAGGUGUCUUCAUGGUCUGCCGUGUCGAUAACAUCAAGCUGGAUUAGUUCGAUGAGCCAACUUCUUAGACUGGACGAGCCAAGAUUGGCAAGUGCACUGGAGGUGUUAUUAAGACUCCUGUAUUCCCGCAGGUGGGAGUUAAACCGUGUGCAUUAUAGACGUAGGGCACUCCCACAUCAUUGAAAUUGUGAGAGGGCUAGUGGUCAGGUUCAUGCUGGCAUAUCCCCUCCAAAGAAAAGGACAAGUGAUUCCAUCUGGACCUCCUGCCUCUAAGAAGAAAGUCCAAUUCCUGGUUGGCCUCUUUGGGUUCUGUAAGCACCCUUAGAGUAAGCCCAGAGAAAAGGUCAAAUAUAUUUGAAUAUGAUUGAAUGAAGGAAUAUGUGUAGAAUAUGAAUAUAUAACAAAUACAUGCUCAUAAAUAUAUAUAAUGUAUAUGGGUAACACUUACAUACAUAAGUGUAGAAGAGAUACAUGUUUGCUGUAGAUUUAUCUACUUCUUCACUCAUUGAUUCCUGAGCCUACCCUUAGUUUAGAAACAAAUACUCAAAGAAGCUUCUAGCCUAACUAAGUAUGAAACAGAAAGAUUUCACCACUUGCCUACAGAGCCAUAUUUUCACCUCCAAAAAGUUAAACAUGCCAUGGGAGGAAGGGAGGAGAGGCAGGUAGAUGCAGAUGGAGAGAAGCAGAUGUGAAGGAAGUGGAGUUAUGAGGAGGAGGAGGAGAGAGGGCCCCACGGUGAGUGAGGACCAGGGAACGGAGUGUGCUCUCCUGCAGCAGGGGUCCCCUGUGGACAUCUGCUGCGCAGCAGUCCUGAAAGUCCCUGGGGAGGGGACAGGGCUGUGAUGCGGGUGAAAGGGAGAACCCUCCUCCCUGUUCAGGGUGAAAGUGGACAGAACCCAGGCAGUGGCAGACACACGGCCACUGUCGGUGAAAACAGCCAUCUACCUAGAGCUCCUACCCAUGUCCCCGGACCACAGACGCAUUACCUUAAUCAUCAUUAACUCAGUUUUGCAGAAUUAAAAAAAGAUGAAGAAGGAUCUGGUCAACUACAUUAUUAACACAAGAUCAUAAAGCCAGUCAGAACUAUGGUUUGUGUUAAAGCUCAGCUAACCUAAUUCCAAAAUUAGGUUUUUUUUUUUUGUUUUGUUUUGUUUUUUUUUUUUUAAGGGCCGCAUGCAUGGUAUAUGGAAGUUCCCAGGCCAGGGGUUGAAUCAGACCUGCACCUACAGGCCUAUGCCACAGCCAUAGCAACACUGAUCCAGGCCACAUCUUCAACCUAUGAGGCAACGCCAGAUCCUUGACGCGCUGAGCGAGGCCAGGGAUCUAAUCUGCAUCCUCACAGACACUGUGUCAGGUUCUUAACCCACCGAGCCACGGCAGGAACUCCCCAAAUUAGGUUGUUAACAUACCACAAUGUGCUACCUCAUCGGGCUCUUGAUCCUGGUUUUACCGUUAGUCCUUCCUUUCUCUAGUUGGACAGGAACAACUUCUGUGGAAAUGCGGCUAUGACAGUGGAUGGCAGUCCUGAUCUCACAGUUCAAAGGUCAGGCUUCUCUCUGAUCGGAGCUGGCCGUCAUCGCCAAGUGGUUUAUUCCAAUGGAAGGGGAGUAGAGGUUUCCUGGAGGUAAGGAACCUGUAUGUAUUGAUUGCCUAUUAUUUAUUGUGCUACAUUCCUUAUAUAUUUUAUCUUAUUUCUCAUAGCACAUCUGUGAGCUGGAUAGUAUUAUUAUUUUGAGAAGACAGGUAGAAAAAUGAGAUUCUGGAAGGUUUUAGUUGUCUAACAUUUACUAGUAGCUAGUAAUUGGUGGAGUUGAAAGUCAAGCUUGGGUUUUUCUGAUCUGAGAAUUGUGGCAUGGCAAUAGCUGUGGUUCUGGUUCUAGUAGGUUCUGUUCAGUUUGAAGCACAUCUCAGCCAGUGGUGAAGGGACCAUAGAUAACAGAUUGAAAAAGUAUACUCAUGUGUUGAAAGCAGGAUUGUGAAAUGAUCAAGAGCCCAGGUCCGAGAGACAGGACACUCGGCAUUUAAAUCUUGGCUUUGCCACUAACUCUCUAGGUGGGUUACACUGGGAAAGUUAUUUCAUUUCUUCAAGGCCAAGUGUCUUUAAUUGUAAAAGAAAAAUAUCACUAGUGUCACAAGAUUACUGUGAGCCUUAAAUUGAUCUGUGCAAGUUGCUCAGACAACACUUGGCUUAGACUAAGUUCUUGAGUUUUCUUUAUUAUUAUUAUUUCCAAUCCUAUAGGGAAUUUAAGAGGCUUUGGGUUUUUAGAGGAUAAAUACUUGAAAUGGGUAAGAACCUCUGCAUUUGAAUCCACCUUCAUUCCUUAGAAACUAUGACUUUGGAAAGUCAUUUAAACUUUCUCUUGUCAGUUUUCCUAUAGGGUGGUUUUAAUGACUUAAACGAGAUUACGCAUUUAUAAAGCACUAAAGAGUGUUUGAAAAGUCAUUAGUGUUCACUGUGAUAAGGAUGAAAAAUAGGAUUAUUAUGAUUUCACCAUUAGACAUUGAAAAUUUACUUGGAUGAAAUCACUUUUCAAAAAUAUUCAUCUAAGGGAAUGUGUGACAGACUGAAAACAGCAAAACAACAACUUUCCAGGAAAUUUUAUGUGUCUGUCUCUGUGGUAGACAGUUAUUAUACAGCAAAAAAUAAUGAGGUCCCUGACGGAAAGGAGCUUGCCAUCUAAUUUGGGAUAUGAGUCCCCCACAAAUGGGAUAACGUUGGUAAGGCUCUCAGUACCUAGUCUGUCAACAGAGCGGGAGCUCAGUCACGGAGAGCUGAUAUAUUAUUAUUUUAUCAAAAAGUACAUACCAAAGAGCCAAGCAGGAUCCAACCUUCAAUUAGAGUCUAAGGUUUUGUAUAAUAAGGGGCCAAAUAGGGAACCAGUAUGGAGACUCCUCGAAAAAUUAGUAACAGAACUACCAUAUGAUCCAGCUGUCCCACUUCUGGGCACUUUAGCCGAAGAAUAUGAAAACGCCCAUCUGAAAAGAUAUAUGCAUUCGUCACAGCCUUAUUACAGUAGCCAAGAUGUGGAAACAACCUAAGUGCCCAUCAAAGGAUGAAUGGAUAAAGAAGAUGUGAUACACACACACACUCACAAUGGAAUAUUAGCCAUAAAAAGAUGAAAUCUUGCUAUUUUUGACAACAUAGAUGGAAUUUGAGGGUAUUACGCGCAUUGAAGUAAACCAGAGAAAGACAAAUACCAUACGAUUUCACUCAUUUGUGGAGUACAAAAACCAGCCAAACAAAAAUAAAUGAGUAAACUAAACCAAACCAAAGUAGGGAGAACAGAGUAGUGGCCUUCAGCGUGUGAGACGUGGGUGGGAGGGAGGGUGGAAUGAGUGAAAGGCACCAGCUGGGUCGUGGUGGAUGGAAACUAAAUUUCUGGUGGUGAGCAUGCAGGGGCGUACACACAAGCAGAAAUGCAGAGUACUGAUGAGCCUUAUGUAACACCGUUAACUCAAGGUUCCUCGAUAAAAAAUAAAAAAAAAACCCAAUGGCCACCCGGUAUUUUCACCAAGGGCCAACAAGUGAUCUCAGUUCCCCUGGAGACAGUACUGUGUUAUCUGUAAUAUCCGUACUUUAUAGCGUAGAAAAUAAAUUACAAAAAGCAAAGAGACAUUCUUACCA